AUACGUAGGGGGCGAGCGUUGUCCGGAAUGAUUGGGCGUAAAGGGCGCGUAGGCGGCCCGGUAAGUCUGGAGUGAAAGUCCUGUUUUUAAGAUGGGAAUUGCUUUGGAUACUGUCGGGCUUGAGUGCAGGAGAGGUAAGUGGAAUUCCCAGUGUAGCGGUGAAAUGCGUAGAGAUUGGGAGGAACACCAGUGGCGACGGCGACUUACUGGACUGUAACUGACGCUGAGGCGCGAAAGUGUGGGGAGCAAACAGGAUUAGAUACCCUGGUAGUCCACGCUGUAAACGAUGAUCACUAGGUGUGGGGGGACUGACCCCUUCCGUGCCACAGUUAACACAAUAAGUGAUCCACCUGGGGAGUACGGCCGCAAGGUUGAAACUCAAAGGAAUUGACGGGG
rnacentral:rRNA from 1 species